rnacentral:rRNA from 1 species
AUUGAACGCUGGCGGCAGGCCUAACACAUGCAAGUCGAACGAGUGGCGGACGGGUGAGUAAUGUCUGGGAAACUGCCCGAUGGAGGGGGAUAACUACUGGAAACGGUAGCUAAUACCGCAUACCAUCGGAUGUGCCCAGAUGGGAUUAGCUAGUAGGUGGGGUAACGGCUCACCUAGGCGACGAUCCCUAACUGGUCUGAGGGGAUGACCAGCCAAACGGGGACUGAGACACAGUCCAGACACCGACGGGAGGCAGCAGUGGGGAAUAUUGCACAAUGGGCGCAUGCCUGAUGCAGCCAUGCCGCGUGUAUGAAGAAGGCCUUCGGGUUGUAAAGUACUUUCAGCGGGGAGGCGUUACUCGCAGAAGAAGCACCGGCUAACUCCGUGCCAGCCGCCGCGGUAAUUC